rnacentral:rRNA from 1 species
GAUGGCAACUUUGGGAAUGGCUCUCGCAUAUGUUCCUUGGAACAGGACGUCAUAGAGGGUGAGAACCCCGUUCAUGGCGAGAUGACCCAGUCCUAUGUAAAGUGCUUUCUAAGAGUCGAGUUGUUUGGGAAUGCAGCUCUAAGUGGGUGGUAAAUUCCAUCUAAGGCUAAAUAUUGGCGAGAGACCGAUAGCGAACAAGUACAGUGAUGGAAAGAUGAAAAGAACUUUGAAAAGAGAGUGAAAAAGUACGUGAAAUUGUUGAAAGGGAAGGGCUUGAAGUCAGACAUGGUAUUCAGUGAUCAACUGUCUUUCGGGACUGUGCACUCGCUGUUUACUGGGCCAGCAUCGGUUUAGGCGGUGAGAUAAAUGCAAGAGAAUGUGGCUCCGCUUUCGGGUGGAGUGUUAUAGCUUUUGUUCAUAUCACCAGCUUGGACCGAGGACCGCGCUUCGGCUAGGAUGCUGGCGUAAUGACUUUAAGCCACCCGUCUUG